ensembl:sense_intronic Gm28277 predicted gene 28277
UGGAGUUAUGCCAGUGGGCUUGCCUGUCGUGUGACUCAGUGUUUCUCUCUUGCCUCUUUCACUGUGCAUUUUUUCUUCUGUGUAUUUUAGUGUUGUCAGCGUACCAGGGAAGAGACCCUCACCUGAGGAAUUUCUUCCAUGAGAUUGGCCUGUGGGCAGGUCUUUGAGGCAUUUUCUUAAUUGCUAAUUGAUGUAGAAGGGCCCAGCCCACUGUGGGUAGCGCUGUCCCUAGGCUGGUGGACCUGGGCUGUAUAAGAAAGGAAGCUAAGCAAACCAGGGAAGGGAGCCAGUGGGCCUUCCUCUGUGGUCCCGAUUUCAUUUCCUGCUUCGGCUUCCCUUGAUAAUUGACUAUAACCUUUAAGCCAAAAUAAGCAAUUUCUUGCCCAAGUUGUUUUUGGUCAGUGUUUUAUCACACUAUCAGAAAGCAAACUAGAAAAAGGGUUUUAGUUAAAUUCUAACAAAAGACUAACAAAUUCUAACAAAAUUCUAACAAAAAGUUCUUUUCUGGUGUUGUCUUUGUGUUAUCUCCUGUAUCUGGGUUCAUAUCUCUUUUUCCUAACUUUGGAAAAUUUUCUGUUAUGAUUCUUUUGAAAAUAUUUUCUAGCCAGGCUGGCCUCGGACUCAGAGAUCUGCCUGCCUCUGCCUUCCAAGUGCUGGAAUUAAAAAGGCAUGCACCACUGUGCCCCGUUUGUUUUGUUGUUUACAUUGAAGUAACUUGUCAGGAGACAGAACUGACAGAAACCAGAAUGGCACUUGUGCUCAAAGCUGUCAUGGCACAAGCUCAGAAGGACCCCUGUUUGCCUUACUUGUAUGCAGUUGUGUUGCAGAUGGCUUUAAUCUGUGUGCUUUUCUUUUUAAUAUCUUGUAUCUUCUUUUGUGUUCCUAUUCUCUCUCCCCUUCUGACGAAUAAUGCU